GAAGAAACGAGAGGCAACGUAAAUCCUCGUGGCAAAGUUCGUUCGUGCACGACCGGUCUUCGAGGACACACCGACCGACGUGUGAUUCGAGGCCGAUCGUGAAACCAGAUUCGCGCGCGCAGGUGGAAGAAGAAAUUUACGACGUUUGCUCGGUAGAUGUAAACAAGGACGUUUCAGACGUGCAUUCAUUAAGGAACGUUCCCCGUUCCAAUCGUCGACGCGAUACUAAUGUCGGUUUAGCAUCGUUCCACUCGUCGAGGAAUUCCCUCGACGAAUCGCUCUCUCUAACGAUCUGGCAAACUCGGUCUCAAGCGACUUCUUUUUUUUCUCUCAAAAUCGAAAAAGUAAGCUCUGCGACGAAUGCAAUUAUCCGAGAGCGAUAUACCAAAAACAUGUCGCCGUAAAUAUAAUCGGCGAAAUUUGAUACAAUUUGCAGCUGAGCGAACUGCAUUUUCCGCAUCAUCAAAAUUACUCGAGCAAGUUAUAUUUUAUGCAUAGUUUUAAUUUAAAUAAAAUUACAUGUAUUAAAUUAUUUAAUCACUUGAGUUCGGAAAUUAUUCGAUCGCUCAAGGCAUUAAAAGAUCCGUUAAAACAGUUUCUGAAAAAUACGUAAAGUCUCCGGAAUAUUUAUACGCCUCUUUCAGAUGUUUCGUUAACUUUUGCCGUCCCGGAUUAUUAUUCCGGCAAGUUUCUCGAACGUGCAGUUCUUUUAGCGCAGAAAUCCCAAUACAAUCAACAUGCGAAAGAUGCGAUCGAUGAACAAUUCCACUCAACUACUGCGAACGAUUUCGAAACAUGCCAGAGAUAACUCUGCUGAAUUUCUCGAUUGAUAAGCUACGAUUGACAUUUAUCUCGCGAGUGCACCACUCGGUGCCGACUAAAGUUUCUCGUAUGAAAUAGCUGCGCGCGCGCGCAGCCGGCAGCCGCACAUUACAAUGCACACGUUACAUGCAGUCGUACGUUACACGUUAUAUCGGCGUGUUACAUUCGCGGUACCGCAUGCUCGCUCCCUCCGAGGGGCAUAGCGACGAGAGCUCUGUUCACGCGUGGCAGUAUUCGCGAGACGCGGCUCCCGGCUGAAUAGAGCUCAAUUUCCGAUGAGAAAGGUGCGGGAAAAUGAGCCUUACGCGUUUUCACAAUCUCUAUCGUCGUCGUCGCUCACUUGCUCGCUCGCUCGCUCGCACGCACGCACGGUCCUCGUCGACGCGCGACCGUGAUGUCGGGAUCCAGAGCCGAGUCUCUGGGUUAGCCUUCGCCCACACAUCUGGAUACGACGAUUCCGCUGUGAUGCUUCCCGCGGUGUUAUGGCGCGGUAUACAUGCGACGAAGUCGAUGUACGAGUCGCGGACCGGACCGGCUUAGCUCGAACGCUACCUCGUCGACAGUCGCCUCGUCCGCAGAAGUUGGUGAAAGAGGGGAAAAUAAAAGAUUGCAGGAUAGUUCAAAAGUGUACAAAAGGCAAAUCAUAAAGCAGUGGAGGGAAGUCUGAAAGCAGUCAUACGGUGAAAAUUGUUGGAACACUUUCUAAACGCGCCCUCUAAACAGUUUGCGCUGAUCUCGCACAUCUUACCCAAUUUCCAAUACAAUACGUGCCGUUGGAGAGACCAAACGAACGAUCGAAUUGGAACGAUCGAAUAACGGAACGACUUACGAUAAAGUUACCUUUUAUAAGGU